GUGACGAAACUGCCCCUGCUUUAUGUUGAAAUAGAUGUGCCGAUUGUACAAGGCGUGUGUGGCAGACUGCUGCAAAUCUGUUGGUGGGGGAGUUGUUCUGAGGAGUAGGGAUAACAGUAGGAGGCGCUGCAGAAGAUGGUCUUUUGGAUAAAGAAAGCUUCGUACUAGAUGUGAUUCCUCCAAAACCAAUUCCUUAGAGAGAUUUGCGUGGUAGAGGAUGUAUUCAAGUGCCCGAGGAGGUGUUGAUGACCAUCUGCACCUGUGAGCAAAUGGAAGAAAUCAGUAGGAACUCUCUCAGUCUCAUGAGAAGUGACAUUACCUAGCCUCUUAUCCAAUCUGAAAGGGACUCAUCUGAUGAAAUGGAUGUUUUCACUCCAACAAGAGAUAGAUAAUCAGGCUUUGAAGAAGUGGCCAACGAACCUCCACGGCAAAAAAGUCUCACAUUAGCUUUAACUGCUACUAAUGGAAUUGCUGGAGGGCGUUUGGACUCAACUAACAAGGGGAAAAAAAAGUCACAGAUCCAGUAACUGGUGGAAGUCAGUUCUUGAAUUUGCAGAUGGGUUCUGGUUAUGUGGAUCCAAGCUUGGGUACUUGGGUAGGGCUGACAUGAGGCCAAAAAUUGGUGAGGCUGAGGAUUGUGUGAUACUUGAGGGUGAUGACAUGAGCAAAGUCACGCAGCACUUCGUUAAGGUCACACAGCACUUCGUUAAUGUGGCCGUCAGCAUCUUCGGCAUAAGUGUUGUUGGAGGGACAAUCCCUUCUGUCUGCCGAAGGUGGUUCAUCAGUCCGUCCGUCGCCAUCAACCGUCUGGUCCGCACUCACUUCGCUAUGGUUUGAUUAUUCAAUGAAAUCAAUUAACCCCUUAAGCAUUGACGGCCACCUACAAAUUCAGGAGUUGAGAGUGUGUUAGAAAAGACAGCAAGACGAUAAGUAAUGCAAUACCAUUAUAUGUAACCUCUACAAUAACAUUUACCAGUUAACACAAGAAGUAAACAUUUAACAUUAUAUGUAACCUCAAAAUGCAACUAAGUCGAUCAUCUGCUUCUAAGGAAAGUUAUAACGUAUAAUAUUUUUGGUGAUCACUACCUAAUAG